rnacentral:rRNA from 1 species
GAUGAACGCUGGCGGCGUGCUUAACACAUGCAAGUCGAACGAAGCACCUCUCCCGAAGAUUGACACAGCUUGCUGUAGAUUGAUUCAUUUGAGGUGACUGAGUGGCGGACGGGUGAGUAACGCGUGAGGAACCUGCCUCAAAGAGGGGGACAACAGUUGGAAACGACUGCUAAUACCGCAUAAGCCCACAGGUCGGCAUCGACCAGAGGGAAAAGGAGCAAUCUGCUUUGAGAUGGCCUCGCGUCCGAUUAGCUAGUUGGUGAGGUAAUGGCCCACCAAGGCAACGAUCGGUAGCCGGACUGAGAGGUUGAACGGCCACAUUGGGACUGAGACACGGCCCAGACUCCUACGGGAGGCAGCAGUGGGGAAUAUUGCACAAUGGGGGAAACCCUGAUGCAGCGACGCCGCGUGGAGGAAGAAGGUCUUCGGAUUGUAAACUCCUGUUGUUGAGGAAGAUAAUGACGGUA